rnacentral:sRNA from 1 species
AAAUAUGACUAGAUGUUAUGGGUUUGAUUGAGUAUAAGAACUAGAACCGCAACAUCUUCCCAAAAGCUAAAGUUGUGUUUCCCUUCUAGAAGAUACAAAGCCAAAAACUCAUACGGACUUUGGCUACACCAUCAAAGCUUUAAGAAGCAACAAGAAGUUUCGUUAGUGUUUUGGAGUAAAAAAAGACUAUAUGUCAUGUGUAGUAUUGAGUAUAAAAACUAGAACCGCAACUGGUUCCCAAAAGCAAAUUUAGUGUUUCCUUGUUAGAAGAUACAAAGCCAAAGACACAUACGGACUUCGGCAACACCAUGAAAAUUUUGAGAAGCAAUAAGAAGCUUGGUUAGUGUUUUGGAGUCAAAUAUGACUAGAUGUCAUGUGUAUGAUUGAGUAUAAGAACUAGCAUGGCAACCGAUUCCCAAUAGCUAAAGUUAUGUUUCCUUGUUAGAAGAUACAAAGCCAAAGACUCAUACGGACUUCGUGUACACCGUCAAAAUUUUGAGUAGCAAUAAGAAGCUUGGUUAGUAUUUUAGAGUGAAAUAUUACAGGAUAUCAUGUGUAUCAUUGAGUAUAAGAACUAGAACCGCAACCGAUUCCCAAAAGCUAAAGUAAUGUUCUUGUUUGUAGAUACAAAGCCAAAGACUCAUACCGACUUCGGCUACACCAUCAAAGCUUUGUGAGGCAAUAAGAAGCUUGGUUAGUUUUUCGGAAUCAAAUAUGGCUAGAUGUCAUGUGUAUGAUUGAGUAUAAGAACUAGAACCGCAACUAAUUCCCAAAAGCUAAAUUAAUGUUUCCUUGUUAGAAGAUACAAAGCUAAAGACUCAUACGGACUUCGGCUAAGCCAUUAAUGUUUUGAGAAGCAAUAGGAAGCUUGGUUAUUUUUUUGGAGUCAAAUAUGACUAGAUGUCAUGUGUAUGAUUGAGUAUAAGAACUAGAACCGCAACCGUUUCCCAAAAGCUAAAGUAGUGUUUCCUUGUUAGAAGCUACAAAGCCAAAGACUCAUACGGACUUCGGCUACACCAUCAAAGUUUUGAGAAGCAAUAAGAAGCUUGGUUAGUAUUUUGGAGUCAAAUAAGACAAGAUGAUAUGUGUUUGAUUGAGUAUAAGAACUAUAACCGCAACAUCUUCCCAAAAGCUAAAGUUGUGUUUCCCUUCUAGAAGAUACAAAGCCAAAAACUCAUACGGACUUUGGCUACACCAUCAAAGCUUUAAGAAGCAACAAGAAGUUUGGUUAGUGUUUUGGAGUCAAAAAAGACUAUAUGUCAUGGGUAGUAUUGAGUAUAAAAACUAGAACCGCAACUGGUUCCCAAAAGCAAAAGUAGUGUUUCCUUGUUAGAAGAUACAAAGCCAAAGACUCAUACGGACUUUGGCUACACCAUCAAAGUUUUGAGAAGCAAUAAGUAGCUUGGUUAGUAUUUUGGAGUCAAAUAAGACAAGAUGUUAUGUGUUUGAUUGAGUAUAAGAACUAUAACCGCAACAUCUUCCCAAAAGCUAAAGUUGUGUUUCCCUUCUAGAAGAUACAAAGCCAAAAACUCAUACGGACUUUGGCUACACCAUCAAAGCUUUAAGAAGCAACAAGAAGUUUGGUUAGUGUUUUGGAGUCAAAAAAGACUAUAUGUCAUGUGUAGUAUUGAGUAUAAAAACUAGAACCGCAACUGGUUCCCAAAAGAAAAAGUAGUGUUUCCUUGUUAGAAGAUACAAAGCCAAAGACUCAUACGGACUUCGGCUACACCAUGAAAAUUUUGAGAAGCAAUAAGAAGCUUGGUUAGUGUUUUGGAGUCAAAUAUGACUAGAUGUCAUGUGUAUGAUUGAGUAUAAGAACUAGAAUGGCAACCGAUUCCCAAUAGCUAAAGUUAUGUUUCCUUGUUUGAAGAUACAAAGCCAAAGACUCAUACGGACUUCGUGUACACCAUCAAAAUUUUGAGAAGCAAUAAGAAGCUUGGUUAGUAUUUUAGAGUCAAAUAUUACAGGAUAUCAUGUGUAUAUUGAGUAUAAGAACUAGAACCGCAACCGAUUCCCAAAAGCUAAAGUAAUGUUUCUUGUUUGUAGAUACAAAGCCAAAGACUCAUACCGACUUCGGCUACACCAUCAAAGCUUUGUGAGGCAAUAAGAAGCUUGGUUAGUUUUUCGGAAUCAAAUAUGGCUAGAUGUCAUGUGUAUGAUUGAGUAUAAGAACUAGAACCACAACUAAUUCCCAAAAGCUAAAUUAAUGUUUCCUUGUUAGAAGAUACAAAGCUAAAAACUCAUACGGACUUCGGCUAAGCCAUUAAUGUUUUGAGAAGCAAUAGGAAGCUUGGUUAUUUUUUUGGAGUCAAAUAUGACUAGAUGUCAUGUGUAUGAUUGAGUAUAAGAACUAGAACCGCAACCGAUUCCCAAAAGCUAAAGUAAUGUUUCCUUGUUUGAAGACACAAAGUCAAAGACUCAUACGGACUUCGGCUACACCAUCAAAACUUUGUGAGGCAAUAAGAAGCUUUGUUAGUUUUUUGGAGUCAAAUAUGACUAGAUGUCAUGUGUAUGAUUAAGUAUAAGAACUAGAACCAUAACUGAUUCCCAAAAGCUAAAGUAAUGUUUCCUUGUUAGAAGAUACAAAGCUAAAAACUCAUACGGACUUCGGCUAAGCCAUCAAAAUUUUGAGAAGCAAUAAGAAGCUUGGUUAGUGUUUUGGAGUCAAAUAUGACUAGAUGUCAUGUGUAUGAUUGAGUAUAAGAACUAGAACCGCAACCGUUUCCAAAAAGCUAAAGUAGUGUUUCCUUGUUAGAAGCUACAAAGCCAAAGACUCAUACGGACUUCGGCUACACCAUCAAAGUUUUGAGAAGCAAUAAGAAGCUUGGUUAGUAUUUUGGAGUCAAAUAAGACAAGAUGUUAUGUGUUUGAUUGAGUAUAAGAACUAUAACCGCAACAUCUUCCCAAAAGCUAAAGUUGUGUUUCCCUUCUAGAAGAUACAAAGCCAAAAACUCAUACGGACUUUGGCUACACCAUCAAAGCUUUAAGAAGCAACAAGAAGUUUGGUUAGUGUUUUGGAGUCAAAAAAGACUAUAUGUCAUGUGUAGUAUUGAGUAUAAAAACUAGAACCGCAACUGGUUCCCAAAAGAAAAAGUAGUGUUUCCUUGUUAGAAGAUACAAAGCCAAAGACUCAUACGGACUUCGGCUACACCAUGAAAAUUUUGAGAAGCAAUAAGAAGCUUGGUUAGUGUUUUGGAGUCAAAUAUGACUAGAUGUCAUGUGUAUGAUUGAGUAUAAGAACUAGAAUGGCAACCGAUUCCCAAUAGCUAAAGUUAUGUUUCCUUGUUUGAAGAUACAAAGCCAAAGACUCAUACGGACUUCGUGUACACCAUCAAAAUUUUGAGAAGCAAUAAGAAGCUUGGUUAGUAUUUUAGAGUCAAAUAUUACAGGAUAUCAUGUGUAUAUUGAGUAUAAGAACUAGAACCGCAACCGAUUCCCAAAAGCUAAAGUAAUGUUUCUUGUUUGUAGAUACAAAGCCAAAGACUCAUACCGACUUCGGCUACACCAUCAAAGCUUUGUGAGGCAAUAAGAAGCCUGGUUAGUUUUUCGGAAUCAAAUAUGGCUAGAUGUCAUGUGUAUGAUUGAGUAUAAGAACUAGAACCGUAACUAAUUCCCAAAAGCUAAAUUAAUGUUGCCUUGUUAGAAGAUACAAAGCUAAAAACUCAUACGGACUUCGGCUAAGCCAUUAAUGUUUUGAGAAGCAAUAGGAAGCUUGGUUAUUUUUUUGGAGUCAAAUAUGACUAGAUGUCAUGUGUAUGAUUGAGUAUAAGAACUAGAACCGCAACCGAUUCCCAAAAGCUAAAGUAAUGUUUCCUUGUUUGAAGACACAAAGUCAAAGACUCAUACGGACUUCGGCUACACCAUCAAAACUUUGUGAGGCAAUAAGAAGCUUUGUUAGUUUUUUGGAGUCAAAUAUGACUAGAUGUCAUGUGUAUGAUUAAGUAUAAGAACUAGAACCAUAACUGAUUCCCAAAAGCUAAAGUAAUGUUUCCUUGUUAGAAGAUACAAAGCUAAAAACUCAUACGGACUUCGGCUAAGCCAUCAAAAUUUUGAGAAGCAAUAAGAAGCUUGGUUAGUGUUUUGGAGUCAAAUAUGACUAGAUGUCAUGUGUAUGAUUGAGUAUAAGAACUAGAACCGCAACCGUUUCCCAAAAGCUAAAGUAGUGUUUCCUUGUUAGAAGCUACAAAGCCAAAGACUCAUACGGACUUCGGCUACACCAUCAAAGUUUUGAGAAGCAAUAAGAAGCUUGGUUAGUAUUUUGGAGUCAAAUAAGACAAGAUGAUAUGUGUUUGAUUGAGUAUAAGAACUAUAACCGCAACAUCUUCCCAAAAGCUAAAGUUGUGUUUCCCUUCUAGAAGAUACAAAGCCAAAAACUCAUACGGACUUUGGCUACACCAUCAAAGCUUUAAGAAGCAACAAGAAGUUUGGUUAGUGUUUUGGAGUCAAAAAAGACUAUAUGUCAUGUGUAGUAUUGAGUAUAAAAACUAGAACCGCAACUGGUUCCCAAAAGAAAAAGUAGUGUUUCCUUGUUAGAAGAUACAAAGCCAAAGACUCAUACGGACUUUGGCUACACCAUCAAAGUUUUGAGAAGCAAUAAGUAGCUUGGUUAGUAUUUUGGUGUCAAAUAAGACAAGAUGUUAUGUGUAUGAUUAAGUAUAAGAACUUUAACCACAACUGAUUCCCAAAAGCUAAAGUAAUGUUUCCUUGUUAGAAGAUACAAAGCUAAAAACUCAUACGGACUUCGGCUAAGCCAUCAAAAUUUUGAGAAGCAAUAAGAAGCUUGGUUAGUGUUUUGGAGUCAAAUAUGACUAGAUGUCAUGUGUAUGAUUGAGUAUAAGAACUAGAACCGCAACCGUUUCCCAAAAGCUAAAGUAGUGUUUCUUUGUUAGAAGCUACAAAGCCAAAGACUCAUACGGACUUCAGCUACACCAUCAAAGUUUUGAGAAGCAAUAAGAAGCUUGGUUAGUGUUUUGGAGUAAAAAAAGACUAUAUGUCAUGUGUAGUAUUGAGUAUAAAAACUAUAACCGCAAU